AGUGCAUGAUUUCUGUGCCCUCGAUAUUUUUGGGCUUAAUGGGCCAAAAUUGGAAUGAUGGGCCAACGGGCCCAAUUCGGUGAGCCUUGAUGUGGGUGACUUGGAGCCGGAGGGGAUUUAGAGUGGCCAUGGUGAAUACUUUUGGGUUUGAAAAAGAGACUGGUUUUCUUAAGUUAUUUUUAAUUACUAUUUAAUUUUUGGGUUGUAAUAA